GGAAGAGAGAUGUAUCAGAUAAUUAUAUUGUGAAGUGCCAUCCUGUACUUGAAACCAACUUCUCAUUUAUCGAGCAAUCUGAAUACAGCUGUUUACAAAAUAAAAGAGUCGUCUGAGCGAUGUUGAAAGAUAUGUUAGCGGACGUUUUAUAUUCUGCCGUCUUGUCAUGAUGUUUCCAACUGCGGGCUGCGAGUCGGUGUAUUAUUUUCUGUCGGGCGGUGCCAAUGGGAUAGACCCCUACAUGAUCCCCCUACCAUCCCUCCCUCCUUUUCUGCAGCUCCUUGAACGCUUUUGCAGAUCAGCUAUGGAGGUUAUCUGGUACUGGAGCUCCGCCAAGUGGAAUGUAUGCGAGCAUUCACCUCGCGGGGCCAAAUGCACACAGUGAUCGGGCAGCCUUUGUUAUGACCUCGACGCGAGCCAGAGCCAAUUUGGAGAGCGCUCCGUGCCCCGGCUGGCUGGCCUCCGUGAAGCUGUGCCCCGGAGCUGCGUUUGGUGGGUGCGCCCAGUCUAUGCACAUUCAAGCCCGCAGGCAAGCCCAGUGGCCCCUCACCAUUGUUCCGAGGUGUGGAAAGGGUCAGCGCGGCUGGACACCCCGGCGUCAGUCGUCUGUCAAGCGAACCGGUUGCCAAAAGGAAAGGCUUGUCGCUCCGGCUGAAACAAACUAAUUGACACCUCCCUAUAGAUGGCGCCUCACGCUUCAUCGGCUGCAGUAAAUCUGCCGGCCGGUUCUGAACCGGCUGAGUAAUAGAAUGAAGCUGAGGAGAACACACACCUCAUCGACAUUUAUUAACUACGCGUGGUCCUCUGAAUUGAUCAUUAUCGACGUUAGAAUCUUCACCUGUGCGUCUAGCCCAACUUCACAUCAAAGUGACACAUCAGAUUAAUUUGAACGUGGGCUUUCUCUUGAUCUCGACGUCAGGCUAAGAAUACAACCUGUAUAGUUGCGCUAGGAUAUAACUGAAAAGUAAAAUUAUCGUGACUUAUGUGAGAUAUACAAAAAUAAGGUAUUCUCAGCGGAUAAAGAACAGUUCUGCGAAUAAAUAAAACUUAUUUUU